UCACUUCACUCUUCUCCCCAAACUCCGUUUUCCUUCUUCUUUUUCUCUGAACUCUUCAUUCGAAUGGGAAAACAGAGAAUAACUUUGUAUUAUCAACCAUGAAGGAAGAAAAUGCGGCGGCAUUGGGUCAUUCAGUGAUACCUAUGGUGAACAAGCUUCAAGAUAUAUUCGUACAGCUUGGAAGUCAUUCCACCAUUGAAUUGCCGCAGGUCCCUGUGGUAGGGAGUCAAAGUAGUGGAAUUUCUUGCCCAAAAGAUUCUGAAUAUUUGUACAACUCCUUCAGACCAAACUUAAUCUUGAUGAGAGUUGUUGCCCCAUCCUGACAAACGUUUCUAUGAUUAGGAUAUUAUGAUGAACUGUAGUAUUAAGGACGCACUUGUAGCUGAGGAGAAGUUCUUCUGCAGCCGUCCUCGUUCUCUUCAAUGAUGAAAGGAAAAAAUGAAGAAAUGUCAACUUCUGAAUUGUCUGGUGGAGCAAGAAACCAUUACAGUUUUUAGGACAUAUUUGUGAAGAGUUUGGAGGAAGUUGAUCCUAGUGAAGAUUAAACUGAUGAUGACAUCUGAACUGCCAUUCAAAAUGCAACGGGUCCCAAAUCCACUUUAUUUGUGCCAGUAGUAACUCCAAAAGAUUAACCUGUUCCUUACGUUUGCGUUUGAGCCAAAAGUUCAGCACUUCCUCGCAUACUUCCUGUAGUUUUAUGACAUUUCGUUGGUUGCAUCUUCUUAUUCUGUAAAUAUGCAGGUCCCAUUUGAAGUUCUCAUCCGAAGGCAAAUAGCACGUUUAAUGUAACUGAGUUUUCAGUGUGCAAGAUUUAUAUAAUAUGGGCUGGUUAAAGUAGGCCAUUGUUGAGUACCUUUUUAUUCCGGUAAUGCAUUCUUAUAAUUGAUUUUCUAACUUGAAUGAUUCCUUCAUAGAUGAGCCUUCGUUGUAUGGUCAAUGUGAGUUGCAAUGGUUUCCAAUUUUGAGAAAGCGCAUGCAUGAGGUUAGGAAUUUUUUUGAAUGAUAGACUGGCACCUUCAGAAGUAAUGAUUGGACACAUUAUUGAGAUGGAGAUGGAUUGAAUAAAUACACAUCAUGUGGGAAGAAAGCUCAUGAGAUGACAUUACAGCAGGUCAAGCCGUCUAGGAUUGCUGCACCAAAUCUGAGGCAGAA